AGAAUCAACGCUGGCGGCGUGCCUAACACAUGCAAGUCGCACGAGAAAGGGUAGCAAUACCUGAGUACAGUGGCGCGCGGGUGAGUAACACGUGAAUAAUCUACCUCCGAGUGGGGAAUAACUGAGAGAAAUCUUAGCUAAUACCGCAUAAUACCCACGGGUCAAAGCAGCGAUGCGCUUGGAGAGGAGUUCGCGGCAGAUUAGUUAGUUGGCGGGGUAAUGGCCCACCAAGACGAUGAUCUGUAUCCGGCCUGAGAGGGCGCACGGACACACUGGAACUGAAACACGGUCCAGACUCCUACGGGAGGCAGCAGUGGGGAAUUUUGCGCAAUGGGGGAAACCCUGACGCAGCAACGCCGCGUGGAGGAUGAAGCCCCUUGGGGUGUAAACUCCUUUCGAUCGGGAAGAUAAUGACGGUACCGAUAUAAGAAGCCCGGCUAACUUCGCGCCAGCAGCCGC
rnacentral:rRNA from 1 species